rnacentral:rRNA from 1 species
GAUGAACGCUGGCGGCGUGCCUAAUACAUGCAAGUCGAGCGAACAGACGAGGAGCUUGCUCCUCUGACGUUAGCGGCGGACGGGUGAGUAACACGUGGAUAACCUACCUAUAAGACUGGGAUAACUUCGGGAAACCGGAGCUAAUACCGGAUAAUAUAUUGAACCGCAUGGUUCAAUAGUGAAAGACGGUUUUGCUGUCACUUAUAGAUGUAUCCGCGCCGCAUUAGCUAGUUGGUAAGGUAACGGCUUACCAAGGCAACGAUGCGUAGCCGACCUGAGAGGGUGAACGGCCACACUGGAACUGAGACACGGUACAGACUCCUACGGGAGGCAGCAGUAGGGAAUCUUCCGCAAUGGGCGAAAGCCUGACGGAGCAACGCCGCGUGAGUGAUGAAGGUCUUCGGAUCGUAAAACUCUGUUAUUAGGGAAGAACAAAUGUGUAAGUAACUAUGCACGUCUUGACGGUACCUAAUCAGAAAGCCACGGCUAACUACGUG